UUCAGGUAUCUUGCUUUAUCAUGUGGUCUGGGUCGGCUAAUCUCAUACAUCAAAUCAUCAAUUGAAUCAGCAGUUUUGCAUCCAAUGUUUUACUGUCUCAACUAGCACGUUGUCCUGGGCAAUUAUGGGGGAAACAUCUUUAAUCAACUUUAUAUUAUUGGUUUUCACUUGCGCCGCUUGGCAUAUCUGGAAGCAACGCAAUGGUCUAGUCUUCGAUAAGGUCACCCUUCUGUUAGUCGCUGGUUUAGUUGCUUCAGGCAGGCAUUAAUGUGUCAUUACCCUAGGCUUAAGGAGCCUCUUAGACUUGCUAUUUCUGACUGGCUGAGGUUUGUUGACAAUGUAACUUAACUCCUCGUUGUUUCUGUGUGUACUGUACUGUGCCUUGUGUCCUGGGGGUUCCCUCCCUUUCCUUGUAGUUGUGGAUAUUUGUACAUAUUUUCUUUUAGUAUAAUCACUGUCGGAGCCUCUCCUACAGUUUCUUAAAAAAAACUUU